GACGAACGCUGGCGGCGUGCUUAACACAUGCAAGUCGAACGGAAAGGCCCUGCUUGCAGGGUACUCGAGUGGCGAACGGGUGAGUAACACGUGGGUGAUCUGCCCUGCACUUCGGGAUAAGCCUGGGAAACUGGGUCUAAUACCGGAUAGGAGCCAUUUUUAGUGUGAUGGUUGGAAAGUUUUUUCGGUGUAGGAUGAGCUCGCGGCCUAUCAGCUUGUUGGUGGGGUAAUGGCCUACCAAGGCGGCGACGGGUAGCCGGCCUGAGAGGGUGGACGGCCACAUUGGGAUUGAGAUACGGCCCAGACUCCUACGGGAGGCAGCAGUGGGGAAUAUUGCACAAUGGGCGCAAGCCUGAUGCAGCGACGCCGCGUGGGGGAUGACGGCCUUCGGGUUGUAAACUCCUUUCGCUAGGGACGAAGCUUUUUGUGACGGUACCUAGAGAAGAAGCACCGGCUAACUACGUG
rnacentral:rRNA from 1 species